UUGAAAGGCGGCUUCGGCUGUCACUUAUGGAUGGACCCGCGUCGCAUUAGCUAGUUGGUGAGGUAACGGCUCACCAAGGCAACGAUGCGUAGCCGACCUGAGAGGGUGAUCGGCCACACUGGGACUGAGACACGGCCCAGACUCCUACGGGAGGCAGCAGUAGGGAAUCUUCCGCAAUGGACGAAAGUCUGACGGAGCAACGCCGCGUGAGUGAUGAAGGCUUUCGGGUCGUAAAACUCUGUUGUUAGGGAAGAACAAGUGCUAGUUGAAUAAGCUGGCACCUUGACGGUACCUAACCAGAAAGCCACGGCUAACUACGUGCCAGCAGCCGCGGUAAUACGUAGGUGGCAAGCGUUAUCCGGAAUUAUUGGGCGUAAAGCGCGCGCAGGUGGUUUCUUAAGUCUGAUGUGAAAGCCCACGGCUCAACCGUGGAGGGUCAUUGGAAACUGGGAGACUUGAGUGCAGAAGAGGAAAGUGGAAUUCCAUGUGUAGCGGUGAAAUGCGUAGAGAUAUGGAGGAACACCAGUGGCGAAGGCGACUUUCUGGUCUGUAACUGACACUGAGGCGCGAAAGCGUGGGGAGCACACAGGAUUAGAUACCCUGGUAGUCCACGCCGUAAACGAUGAGUGCUAAGUGUUAGAGGGUUUCCGCCCUUUAGUGCUGAAGUUAACGCAUUAAGCACUCCGCCUGGGGAGUACGGCCGCAAGGCUGAAACUCAAAGGAAUUGACGGGGGGCCCGCACAAGCG
rnacentral:rRNA from 1 species